rnacentral:rRNA from 1 species
GAUGAACGCUAGCGGCAGGCCUAAUACAUGCAAGUCGAACGGUGUCUUCGGACAUAGUGGCGCACGGGUGCGUAACACGUAUGCAACCUACCUUACAUUGGGGGAUAGCCUUUCGAAAGGGAGAUUAAUACCGCAUAAGACAGUAGCUGGGCAUCCAGCAGCUGUUAAAGAUUUAUCGAUGUAAGCUGGGCAUGCGUCCAAUUAGCUAGUUGGUGAGGUAACGGCUCACCAAGGCAAUGAUUGGUAGGGGAACUGAGAGGUCAAUCCCCCACACUGGCACUGAGAUACGGGCCAGACUCCUACGGGAGGCAGCAGUAGGGAAUAUUGGGCAAUGGACGCAAGUCUGACCCAGCCAUGCCGCGUGCAGGAUGAAGGCGUUAUGCGUUGUAAACUGCUUUCAUACAGGAAGAAACAACUCUUGCGAGAGGCAUUGACGGUACUGUAUGAAUAAGCACCGGCUAACUCCGUGCCAGCCGCCGCGGUAAAAC